CCGGGGAACUGAAACAUCUAAGUACCCGGAGGAAAAGAAAGUAAAUAAACGAUUUCGUAAGUAGUGGUGAGCGAACGCGAAAGAGCCCAAACCGGAGAAAUUUAUUUCGAUGGGGUUCGGACCUGCAUAAUUCAAAAAAUCGUUAGUCGAACAUAGUUGGAAAACUAGGCGACACAGAGUAAUAGCCUCGUAGGCGAAAACGAUUUCAGAUGGCGGGUAUCCAGAGUAGCACAGGACACGUGUAAUCCGGUGUGAACAUGUGAGGACCAUCUCAUAAGGCUAAAUACGACUUGGUGACCGAUAGCGUAUAGUACCGUGAGGGAAAGGUGAAAAGGACCCCGGGAGGGGAGUGAAAGAGAACCUGAAACCAUAUGCUUACAAGCAGACACAGCACAACUUAAUGUGUGGUGUCGUACUUUUUGUAGAACGGGCCGGCGAGUUACGUUGCGUAGCGAGGUUAAGUGAUUAAGUCACGGAGCCGAAGCGAAAGCGAGUCUGAAACUGGCGACAUAGUUGCGUGACGUAGACCCGAAACUGGAUGACCUAACCAUGAGCAGGUUGAAGCAGUGGUAAGACACUGUGGAGGACCGAACCCACGUUCGUUUAAAAGACCGGGGAUGACUUGUGGUUAGCGGAGAAAUUCCAAUCGAAUCCAGAUAUAGCUGGUUCUCCUCGAAAUAGCUUUAGGGCUAGCCUCUGAAUAGAUUACUGAUGGUAGAGCACUGAAUGGGCUAGGGGGCUUCACAGCUUACUGAACCUUAUCAAACUUCGAAUGUCAGAUAAUUGUUUUCAGGGAGUCAGACAGCGUGAGAUAAGUUUCGUUGUCAAAAGGGAAACAGCCCAGAUCUACAACUAAGGUCCCUAAGUACAAGUUAAGUGGUAAAGGAUGUGUCAAUUCCAAAACAACCAGGAUGUUGGCUUAGAAGCAGCCACUCAUUUAAAGAGUGCGUAAUAGCUCACUGGUCGAGAGAGGGUGCGCCGAAAAUUACCGGGGCUAAAACUUGUCACCGAAGUUUAGGAAUGUAAUUUAUUACAUUGGUAGAGGAGCAAUCUAUGCGGGCUGAAGCGGUAUCGAAAGGGGCCGUGGACUGCAUAGAAGAGAGAAUGCCGGCAUAAGUAGCGAGAGGGAAGUGAGAAUCUUCCCCGUCGAAUGCCUAAGGUUUCCUGGGGAAGGUUUGUCCCCCCAGGGUAAGUCGGGACCUAAGCCGAGGCCGAAAGGCGUAGGUGAUGGACAGCAGGUAGAUAUUCCUGCACCACCGAGCGACGUUUAAAUGAGGCAAUGACACAGUAGGAUAGUCAAUCCGCGGAGUUGGAUUUCUGCGGCCAAAUCGUGAGGCUUGCACGUAGUGAAGUACGCGUGCUUUAAGGCUGGGCGAUGAUGGGGAGUGAAAAUUAGUAACGAAGUUGAUGAAUUCACACUGGCGAGAAAAGUUGCUAAAUAUGUUGUUAGGUGCCCGUACCGCAUACCGACACAGGUGGGCGAGGAGAAAAUCCUAAGACGGACGGGAUAACCCUUGUUAAGGAACUCUGCAAAAUGACCCCGUAACUUCGGAAGAAGGGGAGCCUACGAAAGUAGGCCGCAGUGAAGAGGCCCAAGCAACUGUUUACCAAAAACACAGGUCUCUGCAAAAUCGUAAGAUGAUGUAUAGGGGCUGACGCCUGCCCAGUGCUGGAAGGUUAAGGGGAUGUGUUAGCGCAAGCGAAGCACGGAACUUAAGCCCCAGUGAACGGCGGCCGUAACUAUAACGGUCCUAAGGUAGCGAAAUUCCUUGUCAGGUAAGUUCUGACCCGCACGAAUGGCGUAAUGAUUUGGGCGCUGUCUCAACAGGGGACCCGGCGAAAUUGUAUUAUACGUGAAGAUGCGUAUUACCCGCGACUGGACGGAGAGACCCCGUAGAGCUUUACUGUAGCUUGGUAUUGAAGUUCGGUGAUUUAUGUACAGGAUAGGUGGGAGACUUGGAAACAGGGGCGUCAG
rnacentral:rRNA from 1 species